rnacentral:rRNA from 3 species
CCAGUGAUAAACUGGAGGAAGGUGGGGAUGACGUCAAGUCAUCAUGGCCCUUACGACCAGGGCUACACACGUGCUACAAUGGCGCAUACAAAGAGAAGCGACCUCGCGAGAGCAAGCGGACCUCAUAAAGUGCGUCGUAGUCCGGAUUGGAGUCUGCAACUCGACUCCAUGAAGUCGGAAUCGCUAGUAAUCGUGGAUCAGAAUGCCACGGUGAAUACGUUCCCGGGCCUUGUACACACCGCCCGUCACACCAUGGGAGUGGGUUGCAAAAGAAGUAGGUAGCUUAACCUUCGGGAGGGCGCUUACCACUUUGUGAUUCAUGACUGGGGUGAAGUCGUAACAAGGUAACCGUAGGGGAACCUGC